AUCCACCUGAGUCGGAUAUGAUCACCCGCUGAACUUAAG
rnacentral:rRNA from 1 species